UGUGAUCAAUAAAAAAAACAAAAAAAAACACAACAUUUUAAAACUGAAAAAAAAAUAAAAUACAAAUCUGGGAUGCAAAGCUAAUGAAACAAAGUAAACAUUUAUUUUAGUUAUGAAGAUAGGCUAAAAAAGUUCAAAAACUUCAUCAACAGCAUUGUACAAAGAAUGUAAGGUCAUUCUUUGAGAUUUGAGGGAGGGAGAUUUUACCUACAGCAAUGAUAAAGGAUUAUUUACACUUAUAAAAAUAAAGAUCUGAAAUUCAUUUUA